rnacentral:hammerhead_ribozyme from 1 species
UUAAAGCUGAAGAGUCCCAAACAGAACGAAACACGCGUUCUUGAU